rnacentral:lncRNA from 1 species
UUAAUUUCACUAUUGCAUCAAAAUCCAUUUGUUCCCCUUCAAAGACAAUUUUAUUUAUGUGACACUAAAUGGAUCAAGCCACUGCACACCAAACAACUCUCCACACAAUAGUUUUAUUCCUUCCAAACCAAAAACAGUCAUGCAUAAAGAAAUAUUUUUUGGGAUCCCCCUGGUUAGCAAUCUGAACCUCAAUCCAUUUAUAACAGUUUUGCCAGAUUCAAUAUAAAAACGGACAUGUGAGUGAAUAUUAAAUGGUUGCUAUCCUCCUUUUCCCCUGAGCAGAACAGACAAAGUUGGUGUUGUUCUUCCAACAAGAUGUUCCUACAUUACAGAUUUUUCCCUGUGAGUAACUCGUUUUUUAUAGUUUCCACACGAAGAUAGCAACAUUGUGGGGGAUGGCAAGCUUCCA